UGAGGAAUAUUGCGCAAUGGGGGAAACCCUGACGCAGCGACGCCGUGUGAGCGAUGAAGGCCUUCGGGUCGUAAAGCUCUGUCAGAGGGGAAGAAAGGGGAUAUGGUUAAUACCCAUGUCCAUUGACGGUACCCUUUGAGGAAGCACCGGCUAACUCCGUGCCAGCAGCCGCGGUAAUACGGAGGGUGCGAGUGUUAUUCGGAAUCACUGGGCGUAAAGAGCACGUAGGCGGAUCGGUAAGUCAGAUGUGAAAUCCCGGAGCUCAACUCCGGAACUGCAUUUGAUACUGCCAGUCUUGAGUGAGGUAGAGGGGGGUGGAAUUCCCGGUGUAGAGGUGAAAUUCGUAGAUAUCGGGAGGAACACCAGAGGCGAAGGCGACCCCCUGGGCCUUUACUGACGCUGAGGUGCGAAAGCGUGGGGAGCAAACA
rnacentral:rRNA from 1 species